rnacentral:lncRNA from 1 species
UCAUAUGUGGUAUUUUUGGAUCAUCUCCAAGGCAAGUGUAAAGAUGCCUUCUCUCUCUCACCCUACUUCUAAUAGGCUUAUGUGGAGCUUAUAGGUGGGAGAGACAAUUCAAACCUACUUGCAUGUAUUGCAUAGUUAAACCAUGGAUCUAGAGAAACUAUUUAUACAAUCAAAUCAUAUGUGCAUGUGAGCGCAGUGAAUGAAAUGAGUGAUAAGAAUGAAAGUAGUUAUGAGGGGUGAUGACUGAUGGUGAACAUCUAAUUCUACAAUUGCUCCUCGUGAAUAACAUACCUCCCUAAUCUGAUAACAAGGACUUGGUUGUAUUUCUUUUCUUUUGGGACCUUUUGUCCUCUUUCUUUUCUUUUCUUUCUCUUCUUUUUUUAGAUCAGCCAACCCUUUUAAUGCACUAAUAACAAUAGGGAGUAUCAACUGAAACAACUGAAGCUUUAUUGGAUAAGUAGAAUAAGACAUUGAAUAUUUUUGGUGUCUUCUCCUAGUGUAGGAGUAGAACAUUUUCUAAGUGGAUGUGGAAUGUGGAUGGAUGAAUGCGUACUCCUAGGGUAGAAGCAGCAUAUAGUGUAGUGAGUAUAUGUGGGUGGCACUUCUAGGAAUAGAAGUAGCACAUAGUGAAUGUGGUGGAUGUAAGUGGUUGCGUACUUCUGAGGAUAGAAGUAGCUAAGAUCAAUGGAUGGAGAGCACAUAAUAUUGACUUUAACUGCAUGACUAGUUCCUUAGGGUCUACACAGCUUAACUACCCUCAAUGCUUAUAGGUUGAAACAUAAGUAGAGGUUUUCCUAAUCUAGCAAGCAUGAGUAUUUGGUUGUGGUAGGAAUUUUAAAACUCUCGUCAUAAAGGAACUCAUCAUGUAGUAAUUUAAGAUUUUCAAAUAUAAUUCUCCAGAACUAUAGCAUCUCUAGGAGCAAGACUGAUAGCAGCUGAAAACCUUCCCAUACCAUAUCUGUCAACUACCUAGACUUAG